GACAGAGGGUGCAAACGUUGUUCGGAAUUACUGGGCGUAAAGCGUGCGCAGGCGGUUUGUUAAGUCCGCUGUGAAAUCCCCGAGCUCAACUUGGGAAUUGCAGUGGAUACUGGCAGGCUGGAGUAUGGUAGAGGAAGGUGGAAUUCCCGGUGUAGCAGUGAAAUGCGUAGAGAUCGGGAGGAACACCAGUGGCGAAGGCGGCCUUCUGGACCAAUACUGACGCUCAUGCACGAAAGCGUGGGGAGCAAACAGG
rnacentral:rRNA from 1 species